GGAGCAGGUCCGACACGGUCGAGGAAGCGGUUUGCUACACCGUCUGCCCUGCAAGGGUUACAGGUUCAACUCCUGUCUGCUCCU
rnacentral:tRNA from 1 species